ACGUCACCUGACACACUGAUGUCUUUGAUGUUCCUGUUGGAUGAGUUUGUGAUGUCAACGUUCACCAUGACCGGCUCACCAUGAUAAAACGUCUGAGGACAGAGAGUCAGACAGACGGGUGGGACAGGUGGGACAGGCAGGUGGGACAGACGGGUGAGACAGACGGAUGGGACAGACGGGUGGGACAGGUGGGACAGACGGGUGGGACAGACGGGUGGGACAGACGGAUGGGACAGACGGGUGGGACAGGCAGGUGGGACAGACGGGUGGGACAGGUGGGACAGACGGGUGGGACAGACGGGUGGGACAGACAGGUGGGACAGACGGGUGGGACAGACGGGUGAGACAGACGGGUGGGACAGACAGGUGGGACAGGCAGGUGGGACAGACGGGUGGGACAGGUGGGACAGACGGGUGGGACAGACGGAUGGGACAGACGGGUGGGACAGACAGCCAGGUUUAUGUCUCACCUCUUUGGACAGGCUCAGCUUGACGGACAGAGGUCUCUCUGACAUCAGGAACUCGAAGGU